UAAAAUUGUGAAUGCUGAAGAAUUAUCAAAUUUAAGAGAGAGUGCUUAGUUAUCUAUGCCUUAAUCCACCCAGUACAAGUCCUUCGUGUCCUUAAAUUAUUUUAGCAGACUAACUCGACAGUAAGGCUGAAAAAUCACUUACGAAGCGACUUCCUAUCCCUAGCAUAUUUUAUUCAAUUAGAGAAAAUUUUUAAUUGAAAAUCUACCUUUAAUUAUUUCUUCGUUAACUAAUUAAAGGUGUAUUUAGUAUUUUAGAGACUUCACUUUGCAUUAAUCAAAGAAAAAUCCUCCAGCGGCUUCUAAAUUUAAAUCCGUAGUCGCUCUAAUUAGCUGCAGACCAAUUAAUCAUCACCAACUCUAAGUCCACUUAAGAAAUUUGAUUACCGAAUUUGCACUUAGAUGAUUAUAAGAAAAUUCCUAAAUUAAAUAGGUGAUCAAUCUAGUUGAUUUAGAAAAAAUCCUUGAACGAUAAAACGAGCAACUCAAGAAUGCCAAAUUUGAUUUUAAAACAAAAUAAAUCUUCAAAUUUCUCGUGCUAGGUUUCAUAAGUGUCUAACUAAGCUUGAGUAAAUUAGCCACUCAUAGCAAGUAAAACAAAACGAAUAUUAAUUGUAAGCAACAUGAAUUACAAACUGAGUCUUUGAAAGGAAAAUUCCUCAAAUCGUCGGGCUUCCCUCCUCUCGAUUGGCUGAAAUUUCGGGCUGCUAUUCCAGCGACUGGAUAGGCUUUUGCUGGUUCAAUUUGAGAUUUUUUCCCUUUCCUUGCUCGAGUGCCAAGUACCUCCUGCUCUUCUGUUUUCGACUACCCCUUUUAAGCUGUUGAACACCCCUUUUUUAACGGAAUAUUCAAAACCUGACCUGCUCAUUCUUCUUAUCCUUUGCAUAAAAAUAGCUCCAGCUCACUUAGAUUUUCAUUUCAAUUUUACUUCUCAAAGCUGAACAGGAUCAUUUAAUUUUAAUUAAAUUCGGUCACCACUCCAAGAGGGAAAUUAAAUAAUUCUUUCCUCAUUUUGCUGCACAUUCGGCCUGCUGCACUUCUAUUGGACCAAAUUUUCUUCUUUUGUCCCAAUGCCAAUUUAAUUUCUUCAAAACCAGCAUAUGAUCAUCCUCAUCCAGCAGCUUUAUUCAUGGAAAUUAAAUUCUAAAUUGAGCCCAUACGGACAUCAAAAUGCCCCUUACCUGUGCAUGAAUUAAAAUUAACAUUAAAUUGUUGAAUUGGAGCGAAAUUAAAUUAUUACGUCAUGGAAUGUACUUAAUCAAUUUAGGCUGAAUUAUAACUUAAUUGAUCAAAAGAUUAAUCAACAAUUUAAAUAAUUUAGCUGAAUAAAUUAAGCUUAAAAUUGAACUUAACAAACUCCCCCAUACUUAAACUAUUGAUCGUCCCUGAGCAAUUAAGUCGAAAAAGAAUCAAGAAGGAUUUCAAGAAUAUCAAGAUGAAUCAAGAGUUGUCGUAUUGCUCAUGCUUGGGAAGAAUUUUGAAAUCAACAGUCCUAGAAUUUGGUUAUUACAGAAAAAUGUUGUACAAAAGAAAUUCACGAGUGCUUCUUCGAUCAAUCCUUAUCGAAAAAUUUAGUAACACUCAUCACUCAAUGUAUUUAGGCUAGUAAAAUGCUCUCAAAUUGAAAUCAACCACAAUUAACUACCAUAGGCUUGCUUGUCCAUCUUAUCUUAUUACAUAACACAUAAAAUCUCAAAAAUAUAAUUGAGGCUAAAUAAAGGUUGUAAUGGGGCCAAGGUAAUGUUUUAAGGAUGACAGGAAUUGAUUUGGGUGGUGGAGCUAAUUUUCUCAGACUAGUUAAUCGUCCGGAAGUCAUCAAUUCUCUUAUUUCUUUUUUUUUCUUUUGAUUUUUAACUCAAGAGUAGAUAACUAAUUCAACCAGCCUUUCAUCGUUUUCAUUUCCAUACCACUUGAUUCG
rnacentral:lncRNA from 1 species